GAUGAACGCUGGCGGCGUGCCUAAUACAUGCAAGUCGAGCGAGGCGGGGGCGGGUGAGGAACACGUAGAUAACCGCCUAUAGGACUGGGAUAACUUCGGGAAACCGGAGAUAAACCGGCUCCUAAAAGAUGGCUCCGCGUUGCAUUUGCUAGGUGGUAAGGUAACGGCUUACCAAGACAACGAUGCAUAGACGACCUGAGAGGGUGAUCGGCAACUCUGGAAAGGAGACACAGUCUAAACUCCUACGGGAGGCAGCAGUAGGAAACCUGCCGCAGUGGGCGAUAGCCUGACUGAGCAACUCCGCGUGAGUGAUGAAGGUCGUCGGAUCGUAGAACUUUGUUAUUAGCGAAGCGGUACCUAAAGAGAAAGCCACGGCUAACUACGUGCCAGCAGCCGCGGUAAUUC
rnacentral:rRNA from 1 species